UACGGAGGAUCCAAGCGUUAUCCGGAUUCACUGGGUUUAAAGGGUGCGUAGGUGGGUCUGUAAGUCAGUGGUGAAAUCUCCGGGCUUAACCUGGAAACUGCCAUUGAUACUAUAGGUCUUGAAUUUUCUGGAGGUAAGCGGAAUAUGUCAUGUAGCGGUGAAAUGCUUAGAUAUGACAUAGAACACCAAUUGCGAAGGCAGCUUGCUACAGGAAUAUUGACACUGAGGCAACGAAAGCGUGGGGAUCAAACAGGA
rnacentral:rRNA from 1 species